GAAUCAUAAAGAUAUCCAUGAAUGAAAACCGGGAGGACCAAUCAAAAAGCCAAGGCCGCUUCAAAGGCUGAAAGGAACUACAGUGAGACCAGAGGAGUAAUUAUCGAUAUACUAAGAAGAAAAUCCCAACAUGAAGAUACGUGGUCAGGGAGAAGAAGAAGGAUCUGGAGAGAGAGAAGUGUCAGACUUACUAAAAAGGAUUAGGGACAAAAGAAUUAAGCAUCUGACAAGGGAUUUUUCAAUCAACACUUACCAGUUCACCUAUCAGGACCUGACAGACACACAUGAACCAGAUUUUGAAAACCAGAAAUAAAACCAGUAUAAAUAACUCA
rnacentral:lncRNA from 1 species